UCUAAACCCUUGACAACUAACAAGGGUUUUUUUUUAUCAAACCCCAAUUAGAGUAAGUGGUAUUUUAAUUUCAACUUAUUCUUUCUCCCACUUAAUAUGUUUCUGCUUAUUUGUUCAGUUUCCCUCUUUCAUCUUUUUUGGCGUUUCGUAUUUCUUCCUUUGUCUCUUUCAUCUUCAACCUCCUUCGCUCUUUGCCAUUCAUGUUGGAGUCUCUUGUCAAGCGCUCAUCGGCGAGGCUAAGAUAAUGCUAGUAGGGUUCACAUUGUUUAUGCUCUGCGAAUCUAUGAUGCCACGCGUUCUAGGGAUUUCACCGAGUUUAUGUUGAUGCCAUGCUUUCUCUGUUAUGGAGCGUUCUAUUCUCUAUUUUGUCUCGCGAUGUAAGAAUUUUCCUGUGGUCUGGAAGGUACAUGCUCGGUGUUGCUCAAGGAUUGUAUUAUCUACACAACGGAUUAGAUAUUUAGGUGAUCAGCCAAGAUUUCAAAUCUUGAAAGGUGUUACUGGACAAGCAAUUUCAUCCCAAAUUUUCAGAUUUUGGUCUUGUAAGGGAGGGUGCAAUAAGUGAUAAAACUCAUGUAUCUUCUACGGGAGUGUAUUGAGUGGUGGUGGUAGCGAGCCCCUUCCAAAGGCUACUGCCAAAGAUUGGGUUAAUAUGAUAAAUGAAUUUCAUAAAGGAGCUUUGGAGAGUAGAUUGGGUAUACCAAUGAUCUAUGGUAUUGAUGCUGUUCAUGGACACAAUAAUGUCUACAAUGCAACCAUAUUUCCCUAUAAUGUUGGUCUUGGAUGUAC